AAACGCAUUAAGCACACCGCCUGGGGAGUACGACCGCACGGUUAGAACUCAAAUGAAUUGACGGGGACCCGCACAAGUAGUGGAGCAUGUGGUUCAAUUCGAAGAUACGCGCAGAACCUUACACAACACUUGACAUGUUCGUCGCGAGCCUAAGAGAUUAGGCUUUUCAGUUCGGCUGGACGAAACACAGGUGCUGCAUGGCUGUCGUCAGCUUGUGUCGUGAGAUGUUGGGUUAAGUCCCGCAACGAGCGCAACCCCUACCUUUAGUUGCCACCAUUUAGUUGGGCACUCUAGAGGGACUGCCAGUGAUAAGCUGGAGGAAGGCGGGGAUGACGUCAAGUCCUCAUCGCCCUUAUGUGUUGGGCUACACACGUGCUACAAUGGUACUUCCAACGGGAAGCAAAGAUGCGAGUAUAAGCUAAUCCUAAAAAUGUACCUCAGUUCGGAUUGCACUCUGUAACUCGAGUGCAUGAAGCUGGAAUUACUAGUAACCGCGGAUCAGCGCGCCGCGGUGAAUACGUCCCCGGGUCUUGUACACACCGCCCGUCACACCAUGGAAGUUGGUUACACCUUAAGGCAAAUUGUCAACCUUCGGGAGACAUUUGACUACGGUACGAUCAGCAACUGGGGUGAAGUCGUAACAAGGUACC
rnacentral:rRNA from 1 species